UACGGAGGGUGCGAGCGUUGUCCGGAAUCAUUGGGCGUAAAGGGCGCGUAGGUGGCCCGGUCAGUCAGUGGUGAAAGCGCGGGGCUCAACUCCGCGUCGGCCAUUGAUACUGCUGGGCUUGAGCACUGUAGAGGCAGGCGGAAUUCCGGGUGUAGCGGUGGAAUGCGUAGAGAGUCCGGAAGAACACCGGUGGCGAAGGCGGCCUGCUGGGCAGUAGCUGACACUGAGGCGCGACAGCGUGGGGAGCAAACAGG
rnacentral:rRNA from 1 species